rnacentral:rRNA from 1 species
AACGUAGGGGGGCAAGCGUUGCCCGGAUUCACUGGGCGUAAAGCGGGUGUAGGCGGUCCUUUAAGUCAGAUGUGAAAUCCUGCGGCUCAACCGCGGAACUGCAUCUGAUACUGGGGGACUUGAGGACGGUAGAGGUCGGUGGAAUGCCCUGUGUACCGGUGAAAUGGGCAGAUAUAGGGCGGAACACCAGUGGCGAAGGCG